AGAGAAUUGGUUUUAUCUGGGUUCUCGCAGACUUACCGUCAAACGCAUGCUCCAAAGCACAUGGUGAAGAAAGUCAAAUCAGUCAUCAUCCAUUCCAAACCCAUUGGCUCCCACCUUUUCCUGGACUAUUCAUCCUCACAUCCUUCACCCUGGCUGCCACCAAUGAUCCUAUGAUGAAAGUGAUAAGAAUGUGGAGCGAGGUAACUGGACCUCAAAGACUGACUCCUUGCUGUCAGUGAUCGGUUCUGCAGUCGGUCUGGGCAAUGUCUGGAGAUUCCCAUAUCUGGCUUACAGAAAAGGAGGAGGUAUUGUCAUGAAAUCCAAAAUACAGGGGAGAGAAAAACACACCGAGAACAAUUAAUUGGCGUAAAAAGAUUGCAUUAAAUGAACCAGAGAGCAAUCUAACCUGCUCACCAAUAGUUAUGCUAUCCACCCUUACUCCACA